AGCCCCUGGAAAUGACGCAUGACUUUUGAAACCUUGAAGCCCACCCCCAGUGACAUCCUUCUUCCAAUAAGGCCAUACCUCCUAAGCCUAUGGAAUCACCAAAGAAACCAAGUAUUCAAAUGCCUGAGAAGAUGAGGGACAUCUCAAACUACUACUACUAUUGUGCAAACACAGGAUUAUGUGAUCAUAAGACACGAUACCUUAAAUUCCAGUCCAACAUGACCAGUUUCAUUCCAGCCUUCCUUCCUAUCCAUCGCUCCUGUCCAGCAGUGGGAAAUCUGUCAGUGCUGCUCAAAUUGCAUAAACAUCAGGUUGUUUUGGAGUUGUGUGUACAUGCCGCUUAAGUGGCAGAUGUCCUACCUGGAGGGUCGCCUUGUGCCUAGUGGUGUUUUGGGGGGACACCAGGCCCUCUUUGGGAGCUAGUGAAUUUUCUUCCAGAUGCCUUCUGGAAAUCCUGAGGACAUUUGAGUGGGCUCAUCAGGUGACCUACAGUCAGAAUUCCCAAAUUGCCACCCUGAUGAAACAAGUCAGCACCGGGUGUGUGGCUGUGUGUUCAUAGAGGACAUCUUGAGAGCAGGGCACGGUCUGCGGGAUGGGUUAACAAGAGUGAUGGGUCCACGUGCUGGAAGGCCUCGGGUGUUUCCUCUUGGGUUGUUCAUGGUGAUCAUGUGUGUCCUGGCCUCUGACUCACUCUCAGCCUGGAGAAGAAAGGCCAAGUGUAUCUAGUUGGCUGGCAGACCCUCGGCAUCACUGCCAUCAUGGAUGGAGUGGAGUGCAUCCACACCUUUGGUGCUGAUUUUCAAGACGUCCGUGGCUUUCUCAUUGGUGAUCACAAUGGCAUGUUUAACCAGAAGGCAGAGCUCACCAACCAGGGUCCCCAGUUCACCUUCUCCCAGGAUGACUUCCUGACUUCCAUCUUGCCAUCCCUCAUGGAAAUUGACACUGUGGUCUUCAUUUUUACCCUGGAUGGUGAGAGAGAAGAUGGGAAUCGUGGGGUUGGAAGCAGCGGUGGUUCAGAGGAGCUGCCGUUUUGAGUCUCAGGGUGCCUGUCAGAGGAGGAUGUCUCAGGGAUUCUAUGGUUGUGAUGAAACACCAUGACCAAAAGCAACUUGGAUAACCUCACAGAGGUCCAGGCGUUGGUGGAGCAGGUGAGAGAGAAGACCGUGAACAUCCAGGCCCUGGCGCACAGCACCGUGGGACAGUCCUGGCCAGCCCCUCUAAAGAGUCUCUUUCCCUCCAUCAUCAGCAUCACGUGGCCGCUUCAUAAUCAAAGAAACUACUUCCUUCUGGAAGCUUCCAGACUUGACCGGACAGAGCCAGCACACAGCCUCACUGAACCCAGAGCUCUUACAUAACUGUCUCUCCUUAGUGGGAAAUCCACUCCCUUUGUCUUUUGUUCUAAAUGGCGUUCCUGUGCCAUAUCCCUACUUCUUGGGUAAGUUUCCCAUGGUCACGUUCUCUUCCGACAUUGCCUGGUUUUGAAGACGCCUUCUCUGAUUAACUUUAUAUUGUCUUGGCCCUCUAUGACACUUACAGUCGUGAUGCUUAAUAUAAAUAUAACCCUUUA